GACGGAGGGUGCUAGCGUUGUUCGGAAUCACUGGGCGUAAAGCGCACGUAGGCGGAUUUGUCAGUCGGGGGUGAAAUCCCGAGGCUCAACCUCGGAACUGCCUCCGAUACAGCAAAUCUCGAGUCCGGGAGAGGUGGGUGGAAUUCCUAGUGUAGAGGUGAAAUUCGUAGAUAUUAGGAAGAACACCAGUGGCGAAGGCGGCCCACUGGCCCGGUACUGACGCUGAGGUGCGAAAGCGUGGGGAGCAAACAGG
rnacentral:rRNA from 1 species